UAGAGGAAGUAAAAGUCGUAACAAGGUCUCCGUAGGUGAACCUGCGGAGGGAUCAUUACCGAGUUCAUGCCCUUACGGGUAGAUCUCCCACCCUAUGUUAUCUUACCUUUGUUGCUUUGGCGGGCCGACAGGCUUCGGUCAGUCUACCGGCUCCGGCUGGUAAGCGCCCGCCAGAGGACCCCAAACUCUGAAUUUUAGUGUCGUCUGAGUACUAUCUAAUAGUUAAAACUUUCAACAACGGAUCUCUUGGUUCUGGCAUCGAUGAAGAACGCAGCGAAAUGCGAUAAGUAAUGUGAAUUGCAGAAUUCAGUGAAUCAUCGAAUCUUUGAACGCACAUUGCGCCCCUUGGUAUUCCGAGGGGCAUGCCUGUUCGAGCGUCAUUACAACCCUCAAGCUCUGCUUGGCAUUGGGCUCCGCGGCUUACCCCGCGGGCCUUAAAAUCAGUGGCGGCGUCUUCAGGCUCUGAACGUAGUAAAUAUUCCUCGUUACGGAGU
rnacentral:misc_RNA from 1 species